rnacentral:rRNA from 1 species
GUGUCAGCAGCCGCGGUAAUACGGGGGGGGCGAGCGUUGUUCGGAAUUACUGGGCGUAAAGGGCUCGUAGGCGGCCUUCUAAGUCGGACGUGAAAUCCCCCGGCUCAACCUGGGAACUGCGUCUGAUACUGGGAGGCUGGAAUCCGGGAGAGGGAUGCGGAAUUCCAGGUGUAGCGGUGAAAUGCGUAGAUAUCUGGAGGAACACCGGUGGCGAAGGCGGCAUCCUGGACCGGCAUUGACGCUGAGGAGCGAAAGCCAGGGGAGCAAACGGGAUUAGAAACCCCCGUAGUCC